rnacentral:rRNA from 1 species
GACGAACCGAGCGAACGUUGUUCGGAAUCACUGGGCUUAAAGGGCGCGUAGGCGGGUGCUCAAGUCCGUGGUGAAAUCCUCCGGCUCAACCGGAGAACUGCCUCGGAUACUGGGCGUCUCGAGUGUGGUAGGGGUAUGCGGAACUAUCGGUGGAGCGGUGAAAUGCGUUGAUAUCGAUAGGAACUCCGGUGGCGAAGGCGGCAUACUGGACCACCACUGACGCUGAUGCGCGAAAAGCCAGGGGGAGCAAACGGGG